rnacentral:rRNA from 1 species
AGCGAACGCUGGCGGCAGGCCUAACACAUGCGAGUCGAACGAACCUUUCGGGGUUAGUGGCGGACGGGUGAGUAACACGUGGGAACGUGCCUUUAGGUUCGGAAUAACUCAGGGAAACUUGUGCUAAUACCGAAUGUGCCCUUCGGGGGAAAGAUUUAUCGCCUUUAGAGCGGCCCGCGUCUGAUUAGCUAGUUGGUUGAGGUAAUGGCUCACCAAGGCGACGAUCAGUAGCUGGUCUGAGAGGAUGAUCAGCCACAUUGGGACUGAGACACGGCCCAAACUCCUACGGGAGGCAGCAGUGGGGAAUCUUGCGCAAUGGGCGAAAGCCUGACGCAGCCAUGCCGCGUGAAUGAUGAAGGCCUUAGGAUUGUAAAAUUCUUUCACCGGGGACGAUAAUGACGGUACCCGGAGAAGAAGCCCCGGCUAACUUCGUG